rnacentral:rRNA from 1 species
AUUCUCUUAGUAACGGCGAGUGAACAGAGAUUAGCCCAGCACCGAAGCCUACUGCCUUUUGGCGGAAGGGCAAUGUGGUGUUCAGACUGGUAUCUGUGGUGACAGGGCGGCUCGAAGUCCAUCUUUGAAUGUGGCUUGAAUUGUUGCCUGAGCGGGUGGAAGUCCCGUUCCGGGUUGCCCAAUAUGGAAUGUUGUCACCUCUGGAUAUGCUAGUCGUGGAGUCGGAUUGCUUGAGAAUGCAGUCCUAAGUGGGUGGUAAACUCCAUCCAAGGCUAAAUACCUGCACGAGUCCGAUAGCGAACAAGUACCGUGAGGGAAAGUUGAAAAGUACUCUGAAGAGAGAGUAAAUAGUACGUGAAGCCACUCGUAUGGAAGCAGAUGGAGUCCAGCUGCGAGCUGCUUGGAUUAAGCCGCUGUCCCAAUGUAUGUUCUCGCCUCGCGUGGUUGGCUUGUAAAGAGCUAGGCGGUCUCGGCCGCUUAAUAUCUUGACAGGUUAGUUGGUAUUUGCCGCGCGAGUGUAAAGCGAGUGGACUGCGGUGUAUUUCCUUGCGGCUAGCAUCACAAUCGAUGCUGCUGCCAGUAUGCGGCUGUCUAACUUAGUGUGGCUGACCUUGAAGUUGGUCGUGCUGAGGAUGGCAGUUUGCCGUAAUCGCGGUCUCGGCCGUGUGUUAUGGUGCAAGAAGGCUUCGGCCGGCUGAUUGCCGCGUUGAGCAUUCAACUGUGCAGUGUGUCGGGUGUAGCGCAGGUCGUGUGGGCUGUGCCUCGGGUGUGGUCAUUGGGAUUUGUCGUGUUAAA